rnacentral:rRNA from 1 species
UACGUAGGUGGCGAGCGUUGUCCGGAUUUACUGGGCGUAAAGGAUGCGUAGGCGGAUUUUUAAGUGAGAUGUGAAAACCCCGGGCUUAACUUGGGGACUGCAUUUCAUACUGGAAGUCUAGAGUGCGGGAGAGGAAAGUGGAAUUCCUAGUGUAGCGGUGAAAUGCGUAGAGAUUAGGAAGAACACCAGUGGCGAAGGCGACUUUCUGGACCGUAACUGACGCUGAGGCAUGAAAGCGUGGGUAGCAAAC